rnacentral:miRNA from 1 species
UUCUGGUAUUGGAAUUUCAUU